rnacentral:lncRNA from 1 species
UUUUUUUUUCUUUUUUUGCUUUUUAGGGUCACACCUGUAGCAUAUGGAAGUUCCCAGGCUAGGGGUUGAAUUGGAGCUGCAGCUGCCGGCCUGCACCACAGCCACAGCAACGUGGGAUCCGAGCUGCAUCUGUGACCUACAGCACAGUUUGGGGCGACAUAGGAUCCUUAACCCAUAUGAGCAAGGCCAGGGAUCAAACCUGCAUCCUCGUGGAUACUAGUUGGGUUCUCAAACUGCUGAGCCACAGUGGGAACUCCGAGGUUGGUUAUCUUAAGAUAAAGUUAUUUAGAAAUCAACACAGCACUUCUGUUCUUUCCCUGAGAUUCUAAGGAUCAGAAAUCUAUACUUUGGAAACCUGGUUUGAGUAUUUUUGUUGUUGAUGGGUUUUUUUGUGUUUUGUUUUGUUUUAAUGAUCUGGAGUCAUUUGUGCUUUUUUUUUUUUGGUCAAUCCUUGCUUCCCUGGAGAUCAAUCUUAGAGAUAGUAAAAAGCAUAGGGCAAAAAGUCACAGACUUACCCUACCUACGUUGUCAUCUGGGACUCCAAAUCCAUUUCCAUCAGGUCCAGUCCCAUUUCUGAGGUGGCCUGUAGUCUCUCCUCCAGGCCCUGGAUGGAUCACAGGGAUGGGUCCUUAUCCACGCAUCUGGCCGGGCAUCAUGCAAGGCUAGUCACUGUGACCAAUGAUCCAAUAUUUCUCCCUGACACCGGGAGAUUCUAGGUGUCUGAUUUGCACAUCACCAUGUUGCAUCACACUUGGGUGCUCACACUUGGGUGGCUGCAGGCCUGGACCCGAAGGCUUGGCUCCUCCACUUGUACCAACAUGGCUAUUUUCAGACGCCAAAGGAAAGUGUCCAAUCAGGUAGCAGCCUCCAGCAUCUCCCUAUGGUUCUACAUUUACAAUCUCUGACGUUAUGUGAUUGGUCAACCCCCCCAUGUUUGGCCUGUAAUGUACUACAGUGUGUCCUUGGGCACUGGGCUGCUGUUCUUGUCACACUUAACUUUAUUUCAUUAAUGGAAGUCUAUAAAUCUAUUCCCCUUCACCCUUCGAAGGGAAGAAAUAUUUAUUGUCUACUAUGCAAGUGCCCUCAAUGUAGUUUACCUCAUUUUUCUCAAAGAAGCCUUCUACAGUAGGUUUUAUUGUAGUUUUAUAUAUCAUUUGGUCCUCUAUCUCUUUAACUUGAGCCUUAAUAGCUGAUCUUACUUCUGGACCAACCGGAUGCAUAGUCCCUGCUAUAAAGGAAAACCAGCGCUAAUGACAUGGCUUUAUUAACAUCAGCUAGAAAUGGCCAAAUGGGAUAAUUAAUCUUAUUCUCCAUUUAUUGCGAAAAAGAAGUACUUAGAAUCAACUCACCCAAACCAAAAUCAUCAUCUUUGGCAUAUGUCAUCUAACAUUUAACUGGAUUUUGUCAAACAACUCCAUAUAGUACAACCAUACACCAGUUACCUUGGGUAUAUAUUCUCUUCUCUAAUAAGAUUACAUUGAAGUAUCUACCAGUUAGCUAAACUAUUUAAAUUUAAACAUUUUAGGAAUGCUUUAUUGAGAUUGUUAAAUGCUCACAGAAUGCAAAUACCAGCUUUAAAAUUUUUCCUGGCUAAAAUUAUUAGGGCCAGAGGCUGUCCACUAAACUCUGUAUAGCAAGGUACCAGUAAUUGAAUUCUGAGAAAAAUAUUAGCUCAGCCCACAUCCCUGGGGAGUCUUCUAUAAUUAAGACAUAUCUCCUGACUAGAUUCUUUAACUGGAAAAAAAAAAUGUUAACUCUUUCUUCUGAUUAACUGAAUGUCAGGGUGUGGGAAUCUGCCCUAAUUAGACAACAGAGAAGAGCUGCACUCGCAUAUUUACUCAAGAGUGGAUCUUUAAGAAAGACAAAUACCAUAUGGUAUCAUUUAUAUGUGCAAUCCAAAACAUGGCACAAAUGAACCCAUCUACAAAACAGACUCACAGAUAUGGAGAAGAGACGUGUGGUUGCCGAGGGGGAGGGAGAGGCAGUGGGAUGGACUGGGAGUUUGGAGUUAGUAGAUAAAAACUAUUACAUUUAGAAUGGAUAAGCAAUGAGGUCCUACUGAAUAGCAAGGGAACCAUAUCCAAUCUCUUGGGAUAGACCAUGAUGGAAGAUAAUAUAAGAAAGGGAAUAUAAAUAUAUAUACAUAUAUAUAUGAAUGGGUCAAUUUGCUGUAUAGCAGAAAUUGGCACAACAUUUUAAAUCAACUAUACUUCAAUAAAACUUUAAAAAAUGGGGAAAAACAUAAAAAAGAAUGGAUCUUUAACUUCUAUGCUUACAAAUGGCUAUCAAAAGUCAAUUAUGGGAAUCAAUAUUCAUAAUGCUAUAGUCAUAAAUUCACCCUCUUAAUUUCCUGACCUUAACCUUUAGCAAAUCAGACCUUUCAUUUGCAGUAAACCCAGACCAAAUUCACCAAGUUGGAUUUCCCAUGGUAUAUAAUGAACCUAUGUUCAGGGAUAUCAUAUACAACAGUCUAAUAAUAAUGACAGCAGAUAACAGUUUUGAGAGCUUACUAUGUGCCAGGCACUACAUUAAAUGCUCCAUAUGCAUAAAUUUUUUUUAUCUUUUUACGGUUGCACCCGUGGCAUAUGGAAGUUCCCAGGCUAGGGGUUGAAUCGGAGCUGUAGCUGCCAGCCUAUGCCACAGCAAUGCCAGAUCCAAGCCACGUCUGUGACCUACACCACAGCUCAUGGCGACACUGGAUCUUUAACCCACUGAGCAAGGCCAAGGGUUGAACCCAAAACCUCAUGGAUACUAGUCAGGUUUGUUACCUCUGAACCACAGUGGGAGCUCCCCACAUGCAUAAUCUUACUUGAUUCUUUUAACAAAUCUUUGAGCUAAUUACUAUUACUUCUUGCCACUUUAUGGAUGAGAAAACUGAGACAUAAAGAGGUCGUUACCUAAAGCCACAUAGCCAGGAAGCUGUAAAGCCAGGAUUUAAACCUAGGCAGUCUGAUUCCAGAACUGCUACACUUAACUAGUCUACCAUAUGCCUUCCCUAAAGUAACGAUUUGAUAUACAGUUACAGGGAGCCCCAUACUUCAUACCUGGAUGUAACCUCUGGAAUACCUUCAGUAGCUAACCUGGCACUGAACGACCAAGAUGAAGGACACCUCUGGAAGAAACCAGCAGCCAUAAUCUUUGAGGGGUCCUUUUCUACAGGGAUCCAUACAGCCUGGAAAAGUACAUUCCAGUCAUUGAACCUGACAGCAAAUUCUUUUUUUUUUUUUUUUUU